CACCUUGGCUGUGAAACGGGGUGUGUGUGGAGGGGUGGUGGGGAGGGGGCAGCCUGCGGGCGGGGACGUGGAGACGCGCAGGCUGGGGGCGGCGCAGGCGGGCUGAGGGGUCCUGGGCUCGCCAGGGCCUCGUCUGGGGUUAUGACUCCCGCGGGAAGCACGACUGCUUCGGAGAGUUCUCCACCGCCUUCGAGGAGAUGCAGAAAGCCUUUGGGGAGAACCAGGUGAGCGGGCCCUCCCUGCCCUGCCUGUGGGCGAGCCGGAAGCGCUGGCCCUGGGCUGGGCUGUCCCAGAAGCUGUGAUGGCUUUAGAGAGAAGACCGGUGACGACGGCGGAGAAUGAUACCCGCUGGCCCAGCAGGGGGCUGGGGUCGGGACCCCAGGCCUGUGUGGAAGCUGGAGAAACGCCCUCCAGGGCGAGGGAUUUCAGGCUCCCCCCCGGCCCCAAGGGUGGGUGUUGGGCGGUGGCGCUCGGGAUGGGGGUCUCUGCCUGUCCCUGUCCUCCCGGCCCAGUGGGACUGUGUGAACCCCAAGUACAAGCAGAAGAGGCGCAGUUACAGGAACUCGGGCGUGGCCUUGCUGGCAGACCCGAAGGUGGCUGUUGACUUCACCCUCGGAACAGCUGCUCCCUUCACUAUAUCAACUCCUUCCAGCCCAGCGAGUACCUGCAGGCCCUGGUGGCCGUGGGCGAGAUCUGCCAGGACUAUGACAGGUGCGCUGGCCUCCCCACCCCGGGCGCACCCCCGCUGUCCCCCUCACCUUCACACAGACCCAGGCUUCCGAGUCCCACUGCACAGACCAGUAAACUGGGGCUGUCGGGGCCAAGCUCCCACACCGGUGGCUCUGCCCCUUGUCUGCGCGCAUGCUGGGCAGCUCCUUUGUGGCUUUUUGCCUCAGUUUCCCCCAUGUGGCUCAGGGUGGGGCCUGGCCCCCCCAAAAGGGUCAGCCUGGUCUCCUGGUUCUGUUGAUGUCUCCCCCCCACCCCAUCCCCAGGAGACCAGGGCCCUGGGUGAUGGGGCCACCUCUCUUUCAGCGACAAGAGGCUCUCUGCUUUGGGGUUUGGAGCCCAGAUCCCUCCCAAGGAUGAGGUAGGAGGCCUGGGUCCCGGGACCCGCUGGUUGCUGCCUCCCCCCUCCCCUGGGAGCCAGCUACCGUGUGAUGGGCAGUAGACAGGGUUCAGGGACCAGCCUCUGGCCAGAGGUCUGACCUUUGACCUCCCAGCACCAGCCCAGUGAUCCUAGGGCUGAAGAUAAGCCCUGUGGCCCUGUCCGGAGAAGGGGGACAUUAGUCCAGAAUCCUCCAGUGAGAAGGGAUUUUAGCUGGCUUAAGCAGGAACUUGGUGGGGUUUAUCAGCUAAUGAAACUCAGGAGCUUCAGGUCUGGCUGGAUCCAGGGCUGGAGCGAUGCCCAGCACUAGUCUGUCUGCCCACCCUCUGUCCCCAGUGACUCCCGCCCAUGGGCGCUCCAAACCUGCUUCCCCCAGUGGGUCAGGAUAGACUGGCUGACCGGUCCUUUCUGUGCCCGCCCAGGUGUCCCAUGACUUUGCCAUCAAUUUCAACCCGGAGGACGGUGAGUGUGAAGGUAGGAGCUCCAGGUGCCUGGGCUGGGGGUGGGGUGGCAGCGAGGCCGGCUCGUGCCCUUCCCCCCGCAGGCAUCCAGGGCAUGGUGGAGGCGUCCCAGAACUGCCUGCCCAGGGUCCAGCUGUAUGGCCACCACGUGGCUCCCAUCAUCUCCAAGGUGGCCUGCACGGCUGCAGCUGAGGAACGCAGCGGAGAGGCUUCUGUAGGCGGUGGGCGGGCACUGCGGGGACCGCGUGCCUUAGAAGGUGUGCCUGCUGCUGGGGAGGUGGGACCGGAUGGGGGUUUGCAGAGGUUGACAGAGCAGCCCGCGGGAGGCCCUGAGGCAGGGAGCGAGAGGCAGCUGGGUGGCAGUGGGGCUAAGAGACCAGGAGGCCCCAGAGCCAGUGGGGUAAGGUGAAUUCUUGCCCUGGAGGCUGACUUGCCGAGCCCGCAGGCAGCCCGAUGCUUAUGGUUCUCUUGGUCCAAUUGUGCAUACGUCGUUAUUUUUUUUUUUUUUUUGUCUUUUUUUUGUUG
rnacentral:lncRNA from 1 species